rnacentral:rRNA from 1 species
AGAACGAACGCUGGCGGCAUGCCUAAUACAUGCAAGUCGAACGAACACUUCGGUGUUAGUGGCGCACGGGUGCGUAACGCGUGGGAAUCUGCCCUUGGGUUCGGAAUAACAGUUGGAAACGACUGCUAAUACCGGAUGAUAUCGAAAGAUCAAAGAUUUAUCGCCCAGGGAUGAGCCCGCGUAGGAUUAGCUAGUUGGUGAGGUAAAGGCUCACCAAGGCGACGAUCCUUAGCUGGUCUGAGAGGAUGAUCAGCCACACUGGGACUGAGACACGGCCCAGACUUCCGACGGGGCAGCAGUAGGAAGUAUUAGGACAA